CCUACGGGAGGCAGCAGUGAGGAAUAUUGGUCAAUGGCCGAGAGGCUGAACCAGCCAUGCCGCGUGCGGGAGGACGGCCCUAUGGGUUGUAAACCGCUUUUUUGAGGGAGCAAUAAGGUCUACGCGUAGACUGAUGAGAGUACCUUGAGAAUAAGCAUCGGCUAACUCCGUGCCAGCAGCCGCGGUAAU
rnacentral:rRNA from 1 species